rnacentral:rRNA from 1 species
AUUGAACGCUGGCGGCAGGCCUAACACAUGCAAGUCGAGCGAGCGGCGGACGGGUGAGUAAUGUCUGGGGAAAUGCCUGAUGGAGGGGGAUAACUCCUGGAAACGGUAGCUAAUAUCGCAUACCCUCAGAUGUGCCCAUAUGGGAUUAGCUAGUAGGUGGGGUAACGGCUCCCCGCGGCGACGAUCCCUAGAUGGUCUGAGAGGAGGACCAGCCACACUGGAACUGAGCCCCGGUCCAGACGCCGACGGGAGGCAGCAGUGGGGAAUAUUGCACAAUGGGCGCAAGCCUGAUGCAGCCAUGCGGCGUGUGUGAAGAAGGCCUUCGGGUUGUAAAGCACUUUCAGCGGGGAGGCGUUACCCGCAGAAGAAGCACCGGCUAACUCCGUGCCAGCAGCCGCGGUAAUAC